CGACCCGAAGAGCGCCGAGCGCGAAAUCCGCCUGCGUGAUGGGAAACCUUUCAGGUAGUGACUCGCCAGAACCGUGGGGAUGCUGCCUCAGCCGCUCCGAGACAAAAGACCACGCCAGGAAUGCGCCGAGAUCGACAACGCCAGAGCCUUUUGCCCGUGCAGACCAAAAGAGUCGAUGGGCGAUGACCGAGUGGAACCGCGAGCAGCAGAGAGCCGCGCGAGCCAGCGAUUUGGCGUCCAACCAUUCCAUGAUGAGGAAUAGGCAAUCAUUGUCGAGGACUUGCAUCCGUGACGAGGCGCGCGCGCAGAGAUGGGAGACUAUAAGGCGGGAGGAGCGCAACGAGCGCGCUCGUCGCCGUGCGAUGGGGCGCAACAAUUCGUCCUCAGAGGCUAUCGCCCGUUAUUGGCCCGCCCUUUUUGUUUGGUUGGAGAACCAAACCAACGAACAUGCGCCCGCCAUUCCGACACGUCUAGAACAAGCAAAAAGGCAAAGAAAAAUGUUUGUAAAAAUGCCCUUUUUUCGAGCGCCCCCGUCGUCGUGAGUCGAUAGCCAUGGCCGAAUGCGACGGGCCGUGAGGAUGUGAUCCCCGUCGCGGGCUGGCUCGCUUUUUUUGUGCUGCUCGGCGCGGGUCCAAAUCUGCGAGGUUUUAAAUUGGCCGUGGCCCGUCUGACUGUGCCCGCCAGCGCAACAUCGGCGCGCCGUCGGCCUUUUGGAUUUUUUUGCCCUUUUCCCCCACCAACAAGGGGCCAAGCGCGCACCCAAGAAAAGAGAAAAAAAUAUGGGAAUAAAGGGCAACUUUAGGGACGUGAAAAAAUACAUGUUGG
rnacentral:lncRNA from 1 species